UGGGCGGCAGGCCUAACACAUGCAAGUCGAGGCGGUAGGAGAGGUGCUUGCAUCUCUUGAGAGCGGGCGGACGGGUGAGUAAUGCCUAGAAUCUGCCUAGUGGUGGGGAUAACGUUCGGAAACGGACGCUAAUACCGCAUACGUCCGUACGGAGAAAGCGGGGGAUCUUCGGACCUCGCGCCAUUAGAUGAGCCUAGGUCGGAUUAGCUAGUUGGUGAGGUAAUGGCUCACCAAGGCGACGAUCCGUAACUGGUCUGAGAGGAUGAUCAGUCACACUGGAACUGAGACACGGUCCAGACUCCUACGGGAGGCAGCAGUGGGGAAUAUUGGACAAUGGGCGAAAGCCUGAUCCAGCCAUGCCGCGUGUGUGAAGAAGGUCUUCGGAUUGUAAAGCACUUUAAGUUGGGAGGAAGGGUAGUAACCUAAUACGUUGCUACUUUGACGUUACCGACAGAAUAAGCACCGGCUAACUUCGUG
rnacentral:rRNA from 1 species